GACGAACGCUGGCGGCGUGCCUAAUACAUGCAAGUCGAGCGAAUUUACGAGAGCUUGCUCUCGUAAAUUAGCGGCGGACGGGUGAGUAACACGUGGGCAACCUGCCUAUAAGACUGGGAUAACUUCGGGAAACCGGAGCUAAUACCGGAUAAUUCACAUCUACUCAUGUAGAUGUGCUGAAAGACGGUUUCGGCUGUCACUUAUAGAUGGGCCCGCGGCGCAUUAGCUAGUUGGUGAGGUAACGGCUCACCAAGGCCACGAUGCGUAGCCGACCUGAGAGGGUGAUCGGCAACACUGGGACUGAGACACGGCCCAGACUCCUACGGGAGGCAGCAGUAGAGAAUCUUCCGCAAUGGACGAAAGUCUGACGGAGCAACGCCGCGUGAGUGAUGAAGGUUUUCGGAUCGUAAAACUCUGUUGUUAGGGAAGAACAAGUACCAGAGUAACUGCUGGUACCUUGACGGUACCUAACCAGAAAGCCACGGCUAACUACGUGCCAGCCGCCGCUGUAA
rnacentral:rRNA from 1 species